GGCUGGUCUCGAACUCCCGACCUCAGAUGAUCCACCCCCUUCGGCCUCCCAAAGUGCUGGGAUUACAUGGUAAGCCACCGCGCCCAGCCUCUAUGCUUUCUUUCAAAGGGUACAUACAAUGCAUAGGAUUUGGAGAGGUGGGGAAGUGUGGAGAGAGAAGGUGUUUUUAAGAAUUUGGCAUGGAAGGACAAGCACACCUUAAUCCUCUUCCAGGCUCAACCAAAUUCCAUUCUGAAGUGUUUAAAAGCAAAGCUUUGGAAUCAGACACACCCAGGACACCAUAUGGAAACUCUUGCACAGUGCUGGGCCCAGAGUAAGUGCCACUCAUUUCCCAGGCCCACGCCUGUGACCCUGACCCUGCCUGCCAGAGCUCAUAGCUGCACCAGAAAUGUAAAUCAUCAAUCAUCUGGUUCCCCGAGGCCAGAGGCAGCUUCCUUAAAAGUCAGGUCCUUUACUCCCUUGCACCCUGUGGAAUCUUGCUUGGUCGCUUCUUUGGAAAGAUUUCAUGAAAGGGAUCCAAACCAUAACUGAAGGAGGAAGAAGGCAACUGACUGUCCCUGCCCUGGGAGCUGGGGAGGGAGAGGGAACCCACACCAGGGCCGAUAGGGAGGUAGAGGCAGACAAUCCAGCCAGCACUGCUAGACCCAGGGCUGUGGCUGGCUCUCCCAGCUGGGCGGGCAGAAUGGGUAGUUCUUGGGGAGGUUUCCUGAAUUGUAGGAGGGUGGAGUUCAGGUGAGAACGAUGGGGCCAGGACUGGGGCAAGGGCAGAGUAUUCUGGUGGCUUCCUCAGCCACAUGUGCACAUGCAUGCGCUCUCUCUCUCUCUCUCUCCACUCUACCGCAGGGACUGCCUCUUCCCAGCUUUGGAAUCAAUUCCCUGGGACUCCUGGGAGACCAGCACCUGACGGUCAGAUAGCUUAUGAGGAGAUUUGGCCCACAGAGACCAUAAGUGCCCUCAAGCAACAAGAAAGGUGCACCCAAGCUGGCGCCUGCAGGGGAAAGGAAAUCAGAGCUUCCCACC
rnacentral:lncRNA from 1 species